ACUAAGCGUACACGGUGGAUGCCCUGGCAGUCAGAGGCGAUGAAGGGCGUGCUAAUCUGCGAUAAGCGCCGGUAAGGUGAUAUGAACCGUUAUAACCGGCGAUACCCGAAUGGGGAAACCCAGUGUGAUUCGUCACACUAUCAUUAACUGAAUCCAUAGGUUAAUGAGGCGAACCGGGGGAACUGAAACAUCUAAGUACCCCGAGGAAAAGAAAUCAACCGAGAUUCCCCCAGUAGCGGCGAGCGAACGGGGAGGAGCCCAGAGCCUGAAUCAGCAUGUGUGUUAGUGGAAGCGUCUGGAAAGGCGCGCGAUACAGGGUGACAGCCCCGUACACAAAAGCGCAUGUGCUGUGAGCUCGAUGAGUAGGGCGGGACACGUGGUAUCCUGUCUGAAUAUGGGGGGACCAUCCUCCAAGGCUAAAUACUCCUGACUGACCGAUAGUGAACCAGUACCGUGAGGGAAAGGCGAAAAGAACCCCGGCGAGGGGAGUGAAAAAGAACCUGAAACCGUGUACGUACAAGCAGUGGGAGCUGAGGGAAAGGCGAAAAGAACCCCGGCGAGGGGAGUGAAAAAGAACCUGAAACCGUGUACGUACAAGCAGUGGGAGCCCCACCACUAAGCCAGUGGUGAACUCCACAUACGCAUCCUUUGCUGAGGAUACGGUUAACGGAGCGAAAGCGACGUUCAACCGCAAAAGAAGCAGAGGGGGCUUAGUGGUGGGGUGACUGCGUACCUUUUGUAUAAUGGGUCAGCGACUUAUAUUCUGUAGCAAGGUUAACCGAAUAGGGGAGCCGUAGGGAAACCGAGUCUUAACCGGGCGUUAAGUUGCAGGGUAUAGACCCGAAACCCGGUGAUCUAGNAGGGAAACCGAGUCUUAACCGGGCGUUAAGUUGCAGGGUAUAGACCCGAAACCCGGUGAUCUAGCCAUGGGCAGGUUGAAGGUUGGGUAACACUAACUGGAGGACCGAACCGACUAAUGUUGAAAAAUUAGCGGAUGACCUGUGGCUGGGGGUGAAAGGCCAAUCAAACCGGGAGAUAGCUGGUUCUCCCCGAAAGCUAUUUAGGUAGCGCCUCGUGAAUUCAUCUCCGGGGGUAGAGCACUGUUUCGGCUAGGGGGCCAUCCCGGCUUACCAACCCGAUGCAAACUGCGAAUACCGGAGAAUGUUAUCACGGGAGACACACGGCGGGUGCUAACGUCCGUCGUGAAGAGGGAAACAACCCAGACCGCCAGCUAAGGUCCCAAAGUCAUGGUUAAGUGGGAAACGAUGUGGGAAGGCCCAGACAGCCAGGAUGUUGGCUUAGAAGCAGCCAUCAUUUAAAGAAAGCGUAAUAGCUCACUGGUCGAGUCGGCCUGCGCGGAAGAUGUAACGGGGCUAAACCAUGCACCGAAGCUGCGGCAGCGAGUAAUAGCUCACUGGUCGAGUCGGCCUGCGCGGAAGAUGUAACGGGGCUAAACCAUGCACCGAAGCUGCGGCAGCGAACGUAUCACUUAAAGCGAUUCAGCGGGUUACGAUUGACGGAGCGAAGCGACGUCAAAGCGUAUACAAAGUCGAGUCGGUUUAAGGAUACGUUCGUUGGGUAGGGGAGCGUUCUGUAAGCCUGUGAAGGUGGCCUGUGAGGGUUGCUGGAGGUAUCAGAAGUGCGAAUGCUNAGACCCCGUGAACCUUUACUAUAGCUUGACACUGAACAUUGAGCCUUGAUGUGUAGGAUAGGUGGGAGGCUUUGAAGUGUGGACGCCAGUCUGCAUGGAGCCGACCUUGAAAUACCACCCUUUAAUGUUUGAUGUUCUAACGUGGACCCGUAAUCCGGGUUGCGGACAGUGUCUGGUGGGUAGUUUGACUGGGGCGGUCUCCUCCUAAAGAGUAACGGAGGAGCACGAAGAAGGUGGCCUGUGAGGGUUGCUGGAGGUAUCAGAAGUGCGAAUGCUGACAUAAGUAACGAUAAAGCGGGUGAAAAGCCCGCUCGCCGGAAGACCAAGGGUUCCUGUCCAACGUUAAUCGGGGCAGGGUGAGUCGACCCCUAAGGCGAGGCCGAAAGGCGUAGUCGAUGGGAAACGGGUUAAUAUUCCCGUACUUGGUGUUACUGCGAAGGGGGGACGGAGAAGGCUAUGUUGGCCGGGCGACGGUUGUCCCGGUUUAAGCGUGUAGGUGUGUGUUCCAGGUAAAUCCGGUUCACUUUAACACUGAGGCGUGAUGACGAGGCACUACGGUGCUGAAGCAACAAAUGCCCUGCUUCCAGGAAAAGCCUCUAAGCAUCAGGUAACAUCAAAUCGUACCCCAAACCGACACAGGUGGUCAGGUAGAGAAUACCAAGGCGCUUGAGAGAACUCGGGUGAAGGAACUAGGCAAAAUGGUGCCGUAACUUCGGGAGAAGGCACGCUGACAGGUAGGUGAAGUGAUUUACUCAUGGAGCUGAAGUCAGUCGAAGAUACCAGCUGGCUGCAACUGUUUAUUAAAAACACAGCACUGUGCAAACACGAAAGUGGACGUAUACGGUGUGA
rnacentral:rRNA from 1 species